AGCAGUAGCCAGGCAGCCUGCAGCUGCCUAUGGUGGUAAUCAAGCAGAGUUGCCUGAUUGGGGAAUGAGGCUUAGCUGCAGUAUAUAAGGGCUGAGUUCCUGAACUGCAGAGCAGCAGUUUGCUGCUACCAGCUGAGGAGGCAACAUCCAGCUGAGCUGCUGCCUGGGGUGUCUUGAAGCCCCAAGGGGCAGUUUCAACAUUGGUGGAGUGCCAGAGCACUGAGGCAGCUCAACUGAACAUGGCAGUGAAAAUAACAGAAGAGGAAGAGGGAUUAAGGAUGGCCUCCGGGUUUGAAUUUCAGAAGAUAAAGAAAGAAAGCUUGAAAAUGUGAACCCUAUGGACUUGAACAUCAGAAGAAAAUUAAAAGAAUACCACACUUA